GGCUCGUUGGUCUAGGGGUAUGAUUCUCGCUUCGGGUGCGAGUGGUCGCGGGUUCAAAUCCCGGACGAGCCC